ensembl:lncRNA
UUAUUUCUUAUUUUACCAGUGAGGUAUACAUAUGAAGUGGCCUUAUCAUUUUCAUUUGAGCGACAGAACAUGGCAGCUAACGUUACUGCUUAACUAGUGAACGUUAGACCAUGUGGGUUAGUUUUUCCCGGGCAAACUUUGUCAGUGUCGCUAUUAAUUAACAAUAUUUUCAGGAUAAUGUUCUCAAGGUAUGAUUGAGAAGUCAAAUUUUUAUAUAUUUUGACUUGUAAAGCGUAUUUGUGAAGUAUGAAUUGCAGGUUAAUUGUGUGUUAUGAUAACAUUGCUACUAUAGCUGAGACGAAUUAGCCUAAUGAUGUCUCAUAGAUGGUGAAAUUACAGGCCAUCUUCACACUGGUCACCAAUAAUUAGCUACAAAGCUAUUUACUUAUUUAACAGCCAUAUCUAUCCGAUUGUCACUUUUUAGAGCCAGAGACCUUUAUUUGCAUGUUUAGGUUUAUUUUGGAUAACAUUGUGACAUGAGAUAAGAAGAUGUGGAAAUGUUUGCAUGUUCAACAGAAUUACGGACAAAAAUCUACAGCAGGAAUUCUAUGAAAACCUGGACAGACACAGUUCACGGUUCAUGGACCUUUUUACAACCAGAAGGGGGACUCCUGGUCAGCACUUGUUGAAGUUUUUACAGCAAAUAGAGUCAGACCAGCCAACUGAGGUCUGAACCCUUGUUCAUCCAGGACUGCCUAUCAUGCUCGGAGAUGAAGACUCUUCUUUCUUCAAGUCAUGUUUAGUGUCUGAUCAUUGCAACACUAUCCUUGAUGUGCCAAUGGGGCUCUUAUUCGAGGACACCGAUCUUCAGCCCCCCCAACUCCUUGCAUUUGACUUCUUCGAUUGGAAUAAUUCUUGAAGGCCAAGUGGUGAUGGACAAAAUGCAGGACCUCCCACAGGCAAUCUGUCUUCUCUUCGGUCUGAUUUAUGCACUAGACCUGAAUUACACAA